rnacentral:lncRNA from 1 species
CGCUCCACAGGAUGUUGCGUGGCUUCAGGUCUGCGUGCACGUAGCCUUUGUGGUGCAGGAAGGCCAGGGCUUCCAGGACGUCGCGGGCGCAGUGCUGGAUCAUCCACAUGGAGCAGCCCUGGUUGCUGGAGUGCAGCAGCAGCUCAGACACGCUGAUAUCCAGCAGCUCCAGCAGCAGGCAGCGGGACGGGCCGUUGGCCGAGUAGUGGUUGGUGAACACGCCGUACAGAGUCACGAUGUUGCGGUGCCCGCGGAGCUGCUCGAGCGCGGCGCGCUCCUUGCGGAAGCCGUACUCGGCGCAGUCGGCGGCGGGCGGGCGGGCGCCGGGGCGGCGCGCGGGGCCGGGCCGGGCCGGGGGCGGCACGAACUCCUUAACGGCGCCGGGAGGGGCCCGCGGGUCCCCGCAGCAGCGCACCCGGUACACGGAGGCCGAGGAGCCGCUGCCCAGCGGCGCCUGCACCUCCCACAGCCGGCCCAGCGCCUCCAGCAGCAGCGGCGGCGCCGCGCCCCACACGCACCCCGACAUGGCGCCGCCCGCUCACAUCGCCCCGCCGCUACCGCCGCCCCGCCGCGCCGACACCCGCCCCGCGCCCGCAGCCCGACCCGGCCGCCGCCGCGCCGCGGCCGCCA